UGCGGGGUGGAGUAAUUGGUAGUCUCGUCGGGCUCUGAACCCGAAGAUCCAGGUUCGACCCCUGGCCCCGCAG
rnacentral:tRNA from 1 species